rnacentral:misc_RNA from 1 species
UACGGGGCGCGCUUGAUGGGGAAUUUUGGACAAUGGGGAAACCUGAUCCAGCCAUCCCGCGUGUGCGAUGAAGGCCUUCGGGUUGUAAAGCUUUUUGGCGGAAAGAAGCGGCGCAGGAUAAUACCACGUGCAACUGACGGUACCUGCAGAAUAAGCACCGGCUAACUACGUGCCAGCAGCCGCGGUAAUACGUAGGGUGCAAGCGUUAAUCGGAAUUACUGGGCGUAAAGCGUGCGCAGGCGGUUCGGAAAGAAAGAUGUGAAAUCCCAGAGCUUAACUUUGGAACUGCAUUUUUAACUACCGAGCUAGAGUGUGUCAGAGGGAGGUGGAAUUCCGCGUGUAGCAGUGAAAUGCGUAGAUAUGCGGAGGAACACCGAUAGCGAAGGCAGCCUCCUGGGAUAACGCUGACGCUCAUGCACGAAAGCGUGAGGCAAACAGGAUUAGAUACCCGUGUAG